ensembl:lncRNA
UGAGGCAAAUCAUAAUUUUUUAAACACACAUUUAACACGGCUGCACUUUUAGAGAAAACAGAGUCAAAUAUUAAGACACGUUUGAAUAAUUUAUCAUUUAGACUUUUAAAAUUCAGAGAUUUAAUAAGUUUGAAUCUAAAAUGUGUAAUAAGUCAGAAAUAGCAGGUUUGUUGUAGUUUAACUGAAGAAAACAAUGAAACUACGUAACAGAGAGAAGGACGCAAGGAUGUGAGAAAGGAACUAGGAGGUAGGAGGUAGGAGGCGAGUUUAGGACAGAGAAAUGUGACACGGCCGAAAAAACAGAUCUUCUCCUCCUCCGGGUCCUGGAGGGUCUGCAGAGUCCUGGGUCAGGUCUAAGUCUGGACCAGGGUCUAAACCAGGUCCAAACCAGGUCUAAGUCUGGACCAAGGUCUAAAUCAGGUCUAAACCAGAUCUAAACCAAAUCUAAACCAGGUCUAAACCAGGUCUAAGUCUGGACCAGGGUCUAAACCAGGUCUAAACCAGGUCUAAGUCUGGACCAAGGUCUAAAUCAGGUCUAAACCAGAUCUAAACCAAAUCUAAACCAGGUCUAAACCAGGUCUGAACAAGGUCUAAACCACAAACAAAGCUAGGUCUAAAUUAGGUCUAAACCAGGACUAAACCUGGACAAAAGGCAGGUCUAAACCAGGUCUAAACCAGGACUAAACCAAGACUUAACCAGUACCUAAGGCAGGAUCAAAACAGGACUAAACCAGGACCAAAGGCAGGUCUAAACCAGGACUAAACCAGGACUAAACCAGGACCAAAGGCAGGUCUAAACCAGGACUAAACCAGGACUAAACCAGGACCAAAGGCAGGACUAAACCAGGACCAAAGGCAGGUCUAAACCAGGACUAAACCAGGACCAAAGGCAG